AUUGAACGCUGGCGGCAGGCCUAACACAUGCAAGUCGAGCGGAUGACGGGAGCUUGCUCCUUGAUUCAGCGGCGGACGGGUGAGUAAUACCUAGGAAUCUGCCUGGUAGUGGGGGACAACGUUUCGAAAGGAACGCUAAUACCGCAUACGUCCUACGGGAGAAAGCAGGGGACCUUCGGGCCUUGCGCUAUCAGAUGAGCCUAGGUCGGAUUAGCUAGUUGGUGAGGUAAUGGCUCACCAAGGCUACGAUCCGUAACUGGUCUGAGAGGAUGAUCAGUCACACUGGAACUGAGACACGGUCCAGACUCCUACGGGAGGCAGCAGUGGGGAAUAUUGGACAAUGGGCGAAAGCCUGAUCCAGCCAUGCCGCGUGUGUGAAGAAGGUCUUCGGAUUGUAAAGCACUUUAAGUUGGGAGGAAGGGCAUUAACCUAAUACGUUAGUGUUUUGACGUCACCGACAGAAUAAGCACCGGCUAACUCUGUGCCAGCAGCCGCGGUAAUACAGAGGGUGCAAGCGUUAAUCGGAAUUACUGGGCGUAAAGCGCGCGUAGGUGGUUCGUUAAGUUGGAUGUGAAAUCCCCGGGCUCAACCUGGGAACUGCAUCCAAAACUGGCGAGCUAGAGUAGGGCAGAGGGUGGUGGAAUUUCCUGUGUAGCGGUGAAAUGCGUAGAUAUAGGAAGGAACACCAGUGGCGAAGCGACCACCUGGGCUCAUACUGACACUGAGGUGCGAAAGCGUGGGGAGCAAACAGGAUUAGAUACCCUGGUAGUCCACGCCGUAAACGAUGUCAACUAGCCGUUGGAAUCCUUGAGAUUUUAGUGGCGCAGCUAACGCAUUAAGUUGACCGCCUGGGGAGUACGGCCGCAAGGUUAAAACUCAAAUGAAUUGACGGGGCCCGCACAGCGGUGGAGCAUGUGGUUUAAUCGAGCACGCGAGACCUUACCGGGCCUUGACAUCCAUGACUUUCCAGAGAUGGAUUGGUGCCUUCGGGAACAUUGAGAC
rnacentral:rRNA from 1 species